UACGUAGGGUGCAAGCGUUAAUCGGAAUUACUGGGCGUAAAGAGCUCGUAGGCGGUGUGUCACGUCGGCCGUGAAAACCUGCAGCUUAACUGUGGGCGUGCGGUCGAUACGGGCAUCACUGGAGUUCGGCAGGGGAGACUGGAAUUCCUGGUGUAGCGGUGAAAUGCGCAGAUAUCAGGAGGAACACCGGUGGCGAAGGCGGGUCUCUGGGCCGAUACUGACGCUGAGGAGCGAAAGCGUGGGGAGCAAACAGG
rnacentral:rRNA from 1 species